AUCGGUAGCUAAAAUGAAUGUUG
rnacentral:snRNA from 1 species